rnacentral:rRNA from 1 species
GUACUGUGCGGGGAGGGUGCGCUGGUUUGACGUAGGGCGAGAGCGUUGUUCGGGGUUGGUGUGAGGAAGGGGUGUGUAGGCGGGUGUUUAAGGUUGGUGUGGAAGAUCCUGGGUCAACUGGGAGGGUGCGCGGAAUACUGACUGACUAGGGUGCUGGAGAGGAGAGUGGAAUUCCUGGUGUAGCGGUGAAAUGCGUAGAUAGCAGGAGGAACACCGGUGGUGUAGACGGCUCUCUGGACCGUAACUGACGCUGAGACACGAAAGCGUGGGUAGCAAACAGGAUUAGAUACCCUUGUAGUC